AGCGAACGCUGGCGGCAGGCCUAACACAUGCAAGUCGAACGAAGUCUUCGGACUUAGUGACGGACGGGUGAGUAACACGUGGGAACGUGCCUUUAGGUUCGGAAUAACUCAGGGAAACUUGUGCUAAUACCGAAUGUGCCCUUCGGGGGAAAGAUUUAUCGCCUUUAGAGCGGCCCGCGUCUGAUUAGCUAGUUGGUGAGGUAAAGGCUCACCAAGGCGACGAUCAGUAGCUGGUCUGAGAGGAUGAUCAGCCACAUUGGGACUGAGACACGGCCCAAACUCCUACGGGAGGCAGCAGUGGGGAAUCUUGCGCAAUGGGCGAAAGCCUGACGCAGCCAUGCCGCGUGAAUGAUGAAGGUCUUAGGAUUGUAAGAUUCUUUCACCGGGGACGAUAAUGACGGUACCCGGAGAAGAAGCCCCGGCUAACUUCGUGCCAGCCGCCGCGGUAAUAC
rnacentral:rRNA from 1 species